AGAAUCAACGCUGGCGGCGUGCCUAACACAUGCAAGUCGCACGAGAAAGGGACUUCGGUCCUGAGUACAGUGGCGCACGGGUGAGUAACACGUGAAUAAUCUACCUCCGAGUGGGGAAUAACUGAGAGAAAUCUUAGCUAAUACCGCAUAACACUUACGAGUCAAAGCAGCAAUGCGCUUGGAGAGGAGUUCGCGGCAGAUUAGUUAGUUGGCGGGGUAAUGGCCCACCAAGACGAUGACCUGUAUCCGGCCUGAGAGGGCGCACGGACACACUGGAACUGAAACACGGUCCAGACUCCUACGGGAGGCAGCAGUGGGGAAUUUUGCGCAAUGGGGGAAACCCUGACGCAGCAACGCCGCGUGGAGGAUGAAAUAUCUUGGUAUGUAAACUCCUUUCGAUGGGGAAGAUAAUGACGGUACCCAUAGAAGAAGCCCCGGCUAACUUCGUGCCAGCAGCCGC
rnacentral:rRNA from 1 species